UACGAAGGGGGCUAGCGUUGCUCGGAAUCACUGGGCGUAAAGGGUGCGUAGGCGGGUCUUUAAGUCAGGGGUGAAAUCCUGGAGCUCAACUCCAGAACUGCCUUUGAUACUGAAGAUCUUGAGUUCGGGAGAGGUGAGUGGAACUGCGAGUGUAGAGGUGAAAUUCGUAGAUAUCAAGAGGAACACCUGAGGUGAAGACGGGUUGCUGGGCUGACACUGACGCUGAGGCGCGAAAGCCAGGGGAGCAAACGGG
rnacentral:rRNA from 1 species